rnacentral:rRNA from 1 species
GAUGAACGCUGGCGGUGUGCCUAAUACAUGCAAGUCGAGCGAACAGACGAGGAGCUUGCUCCUCUGACGUUAGCGGCGGACGGGUGAGUAACACGUGGAUAACCUACCUAUAAGACUGGGAUAACUUCGGGAAACCGGAGCUAAUACCGGAUAAUAUAUUGAACCGCAUGGUUCAAUAGUGAAAGACGGUUUUGCUGUCACUUAUAGAUGGGUCCGCGCCGCAUUAGCUAGUUGGUAAGGUAACGGCUUACCAAGGCAACGAUGCGUAGCCGACCUGAGAGGGUGAUCGGCCACACUGGAACUGAGACACGGUCCAGACUCCUACGGGAGGCAGCAGUAGGGAAUCUUCCGCAAUGGGCGAAAGCCUGACGGAGCAACGCCGCGUGAGUGAUGAAGGUCUUCGGAUCGUAAAACUCUGUUAUUAGGGAAGAACAAAUGUGUAAGUAACUAUGCACGUCUUGACGGUACCUAAUCAGAAAGCCACGGCUAACUACGUG